ACGCUUUCGUAACUUAGAACUUCAGCAUACAUGAUAUCCGCCAGAGAACUACGAGCAAUGCUUAGACUCAGAGGACUUGGCGGUACCUCAUACCCCCCUAGAGGAGCCUGUUCUAUAAUCGAUAAUCCACGAUACACCUCACCAUCUCUUGCCAAUUCCGCCUAUAUACCGCCAUCUUCAGCAAACAA
rnacentral:rRNA from 1 species